CUCCCACGGUCACCCGGUCACUGCUGCCAGAGCCCAGACCCCGAGCAGAUCUACCCCCAAAUCUCGGUCCACAGCUGGACUGAGCAAGAACCAGUCACUUAGGAGACAAUGCCCUGGGGCUGAGACACAGGCACUUCAGAGGGGAGACGAUAUCUGUGAACUGAGAGGACGCCAUCAUAAAAGUGGCAUCUCUAUGCUUUCUCAUCCGUUGUUUUAUUUGAUCCUCAGAAUGUGCCAGGGAGUUAGGACACUGUGCCCAUAUUACAGAUGUGACUACUGAGCUUCAUUCAUUGAGUGAUCCCAUAGCCCUCCUGUCCUGAGCCCUGAGUCUGCACCAGGCCCUAUGUGUGGUGCUGGGGAAUGACUUGCAGCCUCUGCCCGCGUAGCUUAAUGGAACAGUCAACUUUUGGCCAGAUCACUGAGCACUGGGACCCCCCCCGAUCUUCCUGGGGAGCAGCUCCAGCAGAAUCCCUUUUCCAUAUGGCAUGUGUGAGCAGUUGAAAUUAUCACCAAGAGGAGCCUUAGCAAUCAGCCCAUUCAGAACACAGACCCUGAAGUCAGACAUCCCUGAGUUCAAAUCCUGCCUUGCUCUCCUUUUAACUGGAUAGCUGUGGUCUUAGUCUUUUGAAGCCUGUUUUCCCACCUGUAAGAUGGAAAAUACAAAAGCUCCCACCUCGUGAGACUGACUGUGAGGACUAAUUCUUAUUUCCCCUAUGCUUAUUCGACACAGGGGCCUGGAGAGUGAAAGGGCUCGGCCAGGGUCACACUGGGGGUUAAGUCAUAACCAGGUGGAUCCCUUCCCCCUGCCCCCCCGACCUGCUUCACCCUAAGCAGCCCAGAGCCACAAUAGCUGGCCAGUUUGUGCAGGGCCCACAGGGACAUGUCCUGGGUCCUGCCCUCCGUCUUGAGCCCUGCCCAGCCUCUGCAGCACCAGAGUCCCAGGCUCCCCAGAGCUUCCCGACAGAAGACACAGGCUGCCCCCCGGGGCCAAGCGACAUUUCCUGAAGACAGUGGGGAACAGGGAAGAAAAAACAGUCCGUCCUCCGGGAGUAGGAGGAUGUGGACAGCCAGCACCAGCGUCACUGUGGUCUUUCUAGAGACAAAGGAACAGAACCAGGCAACCUACAGCCACAGAGGAUACGGAAGCAAAUACCUUCCCCUGGUCAAAGGCCUCAACCUCUGGCCCUGUGUCAGAGUUUCCCACAGGAGCGUGGGACUGCCUCUCAUCCAUUUCCUGUCUCUGCACCCAGGAGAGCUGCUAUCUUUGCGGCAAUACUCUGAGCCCAACGGGGUGUGCUGGAAAUAGCCACCAAUUCCCCUAGUGCAAGCAGGGCUGUGACCCUGGAACCGUCUCCUCCCCUUCCUGGCUCGCCAUGUGCAAUGAUAAGCCUCCCCUGACCACCGCACAGCUGUUCUGCAGAUUAAACAUGGAGGGGCGGUUUUUCAAAUGGCAGGCACUCAGAUGCCACCCCCCCUUUUUUUUCCUCAGAUGCCCCCUUUUUAACUUUUGCCAUAUCUGCAAACAAUCAUAAGAUUUUAAAUUUUAAGAUGAGUCUUUUUUAAUACCUAAAAUAGGAAACUAAACACUGUCCAUAAUUAGGAGAUAAUAAAGAUAAGAG
ensembl:lncRNA